CUCAAAGAAUCGCUGCCUCAUUCUCUCAUCUCAUCACAGUUCGACGCCGCCGCCUCUGGAAGACCAGCGAGCAGCGCCGUCGUCGCGUCGCCUCCGCGUUCGAUUUCUGGCGAGACCCCGUGCUUGGAGUUCCACGAACCGCGCUGUGCUUCAAAGGAGAUCAGCAAGGGCCGCCGUUGGUUUUGUACAUCCGGCGAAGUCGAUGCCCUUCGCCCGCCUUCUAAUUCUCUCACAGAAUGGCUCAAGUUCCUCCUUUCAAAACGAGCCCUAGCUCUCCGCCGAUUCAGGCGGAAUCGCCGCGCCGCUGGGCUACGUCCGCCGCUGCUCUUGAAUCCAGCGAAGUCGAGGCGACCGUAGGCGCCGCUUCUGAAAUCCCGGGUCACCGCCCUGGUUCGACGCCGUUGCGUCGAACCUGGAGUCCGGCGGAGCAGGGCAGUCAACCCCCUCCUCUUCCGUGCGGUUAGCGUCGACGUCAAGCCGUCAUCUUUCCCCGUUUAAAUGAAACAGGGGAAUUGGAAUGGAGUUGGAAGAAAAAUUCAAGCCGAACGUACCUUUCGAAGCCUGGCAGCAGCAGCUGAGUCUACUUGCUCUUUCUCGGAUUGUUGAAGAAUAAGGAAAUGAAUGAAAAAAGAAUUGUGGUCUGAAAUGAUAAGGGUGAAGAUGUUGGCUCAUGCAUGGGGAAUGUGAGAGGAUUGUAGGAGGUGACUGGAUGGGGGGAGGUGCUGCUGCAGUUAUCUUUUGCACACACCCACACGUUUCCUUUUUACCUUCCUUUGAUAUAAUAUGGUAGUCUAGAGUAGGAGUAGGUUUUACCCCCUUUUGAUGUAGUAGGGUAGUCUAGAGUAGGAGUAGCAAGGAUGAUGCUUGUAAAUGUAGAGUGUAAUGUGAUAAUUAAAAUAAUUCUGUCUUGCUAAAUUGUAUCUGUAAAUCUAAUUCCGGGUAUGCUAAAUAACGAUGCUUUGUUAUAACUCUCUGUGAAUUAAAUAUAUAAUAUAACUUGCUCUU